UACGUAGGGUGCAGGCGUUAAUCGGAAUUACUGGGCGUAAAGCGUGCGCAGGCGGUUUGCUAAGACAGGUGUGAAAUCCCCGGGCUUAACCUGGGAACUGCGCUUGUAACUGGCAAGCUAGAGUGUGGCAGAGGGGGGUGGAAUUCCACGUGUAGCAGUGAAAUGCGUAGAGAUGUGGAGGAACACCGAUGGCGAAGGCAGCCCCCUGGGCUGACACUGACGCUCAUGCACGAAAGCGUGGGGAGCAAACAGG
rnacentral:rRNA from 1 species